rnacentral:rRNA from 1 species
AUUGAACGCUGGCGGCAGGCCUAACACAUGCAAGUCGAAUGGUAACAGGAAACAGCUUGCUGUUUCGCUGACGAGUGGCGGACGGGUGAGUAAUGUCUGGGAAACUUCCUGAUGUAUGGGGAUAACUACUGGAAACGGUAGCUAAUACCGCAUAACGUCUCAAGCCCAAAGAGGGGGACCUUCGGGCCUCUUUCCUUCAGAUGUUCCCAGAUGGGAUUUGCUAGUAGGUGGGGUAACGGCUCACCUAGGCGACGAUCCCUAGCUGGUCUGAGAGGAUGACCAGCCACACUGGAACUGAGAAACGGUACAGACUCCUACGGGAGGCAGCAGUGGGGAAUAUUGCACAAUGGGCGAAAGCCUGAUGCAGCAAUGCCGCGUGUAUGAAGAAGGCCUUCGGGUUGUAAAGUACUUUCAGCGGGGAGGAAGGGAGUAAAGUUAAUACCUUUGCUAAUUGACGUUACCCGAAGAAGAAGCACCGGCUAACUACGUG